GCCCCAGCAGGCAACAAGAACAAGGCUGCAUUCUGGUUCUGAGUCGCAAGUCCGUGUCCGACACGCAUGGCAGCGACAAGGACAGCCUUCACUUUUCUCCAUUCGUGCAGAGACGCGUCUUCACCACACUGCUUCGCCCAUGACAAACGCCACAAAUAAAAACUCCUUGCCUGCUUCA
rnacentral:lncRNA from 1 species